CCACUAGAGGCGCUUCUGGGUCAGCUUUGCAUUAGGAGAUCUAAAAAGCAUUUUGUCUGUUUGCCUUCAGUUUGAUCUGGAGCCGACCCAUUCUCAGCAGAAUUUGUUGGAAUAUCCCUUUGUUUAAUGCCAAGUCUCCUAUUGGAGACUUCUGCAGACUUUUUGUCAGAAAGUUCAAUUCCCACUGCCCUUAUGAGACUCAGUUCUAUUCCACCCACUCAAGAAUUUGG